AUGGGUAUAGCUCAGUAGUAGAGCAUGUGCUUAGCAUGCACGAGGUCCUGGGUUCAAACCCCAGUACCUCUG
rnacentral:tRNA from 1 species